rnacentral:rRNA from 1 species
AGCGAACGCUGGCGGCAGGCCUAACACAUGCAAGUCGAACGGCAGCGGGGGAUAGCUUGCUAUCCUGCCGGCGAGUGGCGGACGGGUGAGUAAUGCAUGGGGAGCUGCCCAGUCGAGGGGGAUAACAACUGGAAACGGUUGCUAAUACCGCAUACGCCCUGAGGGGGAAGGGUGGGGAACUUCGGUCCUACCGCGAUUGGAUGCGCCCAUGUGGGAUUAGCUAGUUGGUGAGGUAACGGCUCACCAAGGCGACGAUCUCUAGCUGGUCUGGGAGGAUGACCGGCAACACUGGAACUGAGACACGGUCCAGGCUCCUACGGGAGGCAGCAGUGGGGAAUAUUGCACAAUGGGGGAAACCCUGAUGCAGCCAUGCCGCGUGUGUGAAGAAGGCCUUCGGGUUGUAAAGCACUUUCAGUCAGGAGGAAGGGGUGAUGGCUAAUAUCCAUCAUCAUUGACGUUACUGACAGAAGAAGCACCGGCUAACUCCGUGCCAGCAGCCGCCGCGG